rnacentral:rRNA from 1 species
AUUGAACGCUGGCGGCAUGCUUUACACAUGCAAGUCGAACGGCAGCACGGACUUCGGUCUGGUGGCGAGUGGCGAACGGGUGAGUAAUACAUCGGAACGUGCCCAGUUGUGGGGGAUAACUACUCGAAAGAGUAGCUAAUACCGCAUGAGAACUGAGGUUGAAAGCAGGGGAUCGUAAGACCUUGCGCAACUGGAGCGGCCGAUGGCAGAUUAGGUAGUUGGUGGGAUAAAAGCUUACCAAGCCGACGAUCUGUAGCUGGUCUGAGAGGACGACCAGCCACACUGGGACUGAGACACGGCCCAGAAUCCUACGGGAGGAAGCAGUGGGGAAUUUUGGACAAUGGGCGAAAGCCUGAUCCAGCAAUGCCGCUUGCAGGAUGAAGGCCUUCGGGUUGUAAACUGCUUUUGUACGGAACGAAAAGCUUCUGGUUAAUACCCGGGAGUCAUGACGGUACCGUAAGAAUAAGCACCGGCUAACUACGUGCCAGCAGCCGCCGUAAAAC